rnacentral:rRNA from 1 species
AGAGAUGUGUGAUGACGCAUAUCAAUAAGCGGAGGAAAAGAAACUAACUAAGGAUUCCCUUCAGUAACGGCGAGUGAAGCGGGAAGAGCUCAAAUUUGGAAAUCUUCAAGGUUUUACCUUGACGAAUUGUAGUUUAAAGAAGUGUUUUCUGUUGGAGUUUUGGUAAAAGUUCUUUGGAAUAGGACAUCAUAGAGGGUGAGAAUCCCGUAUUUGACCAUUAUUUCCAACUGUGUGAUACACUUUCAAAGAGUCGGAUUGUUUGGGAAUGCAGUCCAAAAUGGGUGGUAAAUUUCAUCUAAAGCUAAAUAUUGGCGAGAGACCGAUAGCGAACAAGUACCGUGAGGGAAAGAUGAAAAGAACUUUGAAAAGAGAGUUAAACAGUACGUGAAAUUGUCAAAAGGGAAGCGUUUGACACCAGUGUUGUUUUCUCGAAAAUCAAUUAAAAAUGAGUGGGAUUUUGUGUUGUAUUGACUUUAUCAGCUUUCUGCACUUUUUUCUUAUCUUUUCUAAUGCACUUUUCGUUUAACAAGUCAACAUCAAUUUCUUUUGUUGUAAAAGAGUCAUUGGAAGGUGGCUUUUUCUUCGGAAAAAGUGUUUAUAGCCUUUGGCUUCUGCAAUCGGAGAGAUUGAGGUCUGCAGCGUAGAUCCUUCGGGGUUAGAUACAUUUGUGCUAAGCUAUAGUUCUUUAUAGACAACUUGUUGACUAUAAUCAAUCCUGUAACUUACUCGCUUAUGCUAUUUUACCUACGCUUAGGAUGUUGACAGCAGUAUAGACUGU